GAGUUUGAUCCUGGCUCAGAGUGAACGCUGGCGGCGUGCCUAAUACAUGCAAGUCGAACGAUGAAUCUUCUAGCUUGCUAGAAGUGGAUUAGUGGCGCACGGGUGAGUAAUGCAUAGGUUAUGUGCCCUUUAGUCUGGGAUAGCCACUGGAAACGGUGAUUAAUACUGGAUACUCCCUACGGGGGAAAGUUUUUCGCUAAAGGAUCAGCCUAUGUCCUAUCAGCUUGUUGGUGAGGUAAUGGCUCACCAAGGCUAUGACGGGUAUCCGGCCUGAGAGGGUGAUCGGACACACUGGAACUGAGACACGGUCCAGACUCCUACGGGAGGCAGCAGUAGGGAAUAUUGCUCAAUGGGGGAAACCCUGAAGCAGCAACGCCGCGUGGAGGAUGAAGGUUGUAGGAUUGUAAACU
rnacentral:rRNA from 1 species